UACGUAGGUGGCAAGCGUUGUCCGGAUUUACUGGGCGUAAAGGGCGUGCAGGCGGUUUGUUAAGUGCAGGGUGAAAGCUCCCGGCUCAACUGGGAGAGGUCCUUGCAUACUGGCAAACUCGAGGGAGGCAGAGGAAAGUGGAAUUCCCGGUGUAGUGGUGAUAUGCGUAGAUAUCGGGGAGGAACACCUGUGGCGAAGGCGGCUUCUGGGCCUU
rnacentral:rRNA from 1 species